GUACAGUAUAUUGUCAUAUAUAUUAUGUGUGUGUGUGUGUGUGUGUAUAUAUAUAUUACACACACACACACACUUACAAUCUCCUGUGUAUGUAUGUA